rnacentral:lncRNA from 1 species
UCGAGAACUGCAAAGAAAGAAAACUAAGCUAAUCUCCAUCUGAGAAGGUCUCCUUAGUUUGACUUCUGUUCCUGUGAACCCUUGGAGAGAAGGCCCUGGUACAAAGUCCUUGCCAGGGAGCUCAUUGUUACUGCCAAGGACAGGUGGAUGUUUAAGGAGUGUGUGCAGACAACUCAAGGAGCAUGAAGGAUGGAUGUAUGAUGUUUGUCAGAAAAUGGGAAGAGCUGAACAAAUUAGCCAAGAACUUUUACUAGGUUCAUUUACCUUUGUGUUGUAGUCAGGGUGCAGUAAAGAAAGGCAGGGAGUUUUGUGGACGGAAUUUAAUACAGCAGGCUAGUUAGAAGGACGUUAUAAAACCAGGGGAGGGUGAGGCAACCCAGAGAUUAGCAACUGCAGGAAGCCAUUACCACUGCUAGGACGGAGGAACAAAGGGAGGGGACUGAGCCACCAGACCCAGGAACUGUGAGCUGGAACUGUGGAGGAGGGGCUGCAUGAGAUGCCACCUGAGGACCCUAUGGCUGAAACCAUGGGGGAAAGGCCAUCAUGGGGAAUGGGAAAUGGAAGCCAAGAAGAGGCUGUGUGAUGGAGCUGGGUCCAAGGAGGAAAUGUGGUCACCUACAGAGAGAGAUGUAGUCACUGCCCAAGAAAAGACUGGAAAGGGAGGUGGAGCUGGUGUAUUACCAAGUUUCCCUCUUCUUCCAUCCAUGCCUCCAUUGGCUCAAUCUAACAGGAAGCAAGUGGGCACAGAAGCCAUCCCCCAACAAUACCAAGCAGAGUAGGGGAAGGUGGGUAAUGGGUCUGAAAGCAAGCAGAUAACUUGCCUACCUGUGCCCCCUAUUUUUCUGCCACACAAGUCUGCAUGCUUUGGGGCACAGCAGAUGUUCCAGGCUGAGAUGAGAUGACAAUGAUGAUGAAAAACUGUGUACAGCGGAGUAGAUGUUCCCACUUCCAGGCUUCGAUAAACAUAAACCAGUAUAUCUAUUGAUGGUUGACAGGAAAAGAUUCCCAGUCUUC